UUCUUCUACCCUUCAUAUUUUCUAAAAAGAAUGACCCGUACAAAACACCGAUCUUUUCCUAGUUGGAAUUAAAGUUUGAAGAUUGGAAUUUAUUUUGUUAUAUAUAAGCAAAGGAGGGGUUGUUUUAUUUAAAACACACCAAAGUUUUGGGGGAAAGGACUUAUUUUGAAUAAACGGUUCAGCAGGGGUUUAAUGUGUUCAGUUUAUAAAAUCAAAUGAUUUUAGGGCUUUUUCUGCCCCUUGCCCUUUGUUGAUCGGGCAAAGGAAAAGAAUGAACGAAGCGAUGAGGGUAAAUACGACGAACACGAAGGCAGUCACGAGGGGAAAACACGGAGGCAAAACAAAUCGGGAGCAAAAAUCGUUUGGGGGGUUCGAUCCUCGUCUGAUCAGGGAAAAGAAUCACGAACGAAAGCUAUGCGAGGCGAGGAUUUCGAUCGAGAAAUGAAGAAGGACACGCGAAUGGGGAGCAGCGACAGGAAGGUUUCGGUGGCGAGUAGUCGAUCGUGAGGAGGGAACGUCUCUGGGGUCGACGAGGCCGAAGAAACGAAUGGAGAAACAGCGAGGCUACUUUUGUUCUCGUCUGGCUUUGAGGUGCGAAGGAAGGAGGGGUCCGACGAGAUUCCGGGAGGGGAUAGGCAGCAGCGACGUCGUGGGUGGGCUUCGGAGGGGUUUUCUCGACGGAAGAAGAAGAGAAAGAUGCGAGGGCAGAUGGUUCGGCGAUUGGAGGUCAAUCGCAUGAAAGAAGAAGGUAAUGAAGAAGGAAGCAAGAAAUGUGAUGAGGCUGCUUCUUCUUGAAAGGAAAAAAGAAAAGAAUGAGAGGCUGAUACCUCUUUGCUAUUCACCCGAAAAAAGAACCACCUCCGGUGGUUCUAGGCUGCCACGAAGAAGAAGAAGAAAGAAGGGAGAUGAGGUGAAGCUUUGAAGGAUUGGAGGCAGCAUUAAGAGUAAAAUUUCUCAUAUUUCUUUAUGAUUUAGUUGUUCCACUGAGAUCCAUUUUGAGUAUUAUUCUUCUUUAGCUUGAAUGCUCAAUGUAAGGAAAUGGCAGCAACAACACGUUAGUGAGACUUGUAGACUUUCUUGGUGUUGGUAUAAUGCAGGAGGGUACCUUGAAUGACAUUUUAGUGAGACUUGUAGACUUUCUUUUUGUUAGAUGAACACUUUAUGAGUUGUACAAUUGAUUGGUAAAGUGUGUAAGUCUCACUUUGUUUGGCUGUCAAUUUAAGAGGUGUAUUUGAUUUCAAUUUGCAAAUAAUGUAUUGAUUUUAUCUCUUAUGUAUUUGUGUAAUUUAUUGGUUUAAUUAUUUAUGUAUAUGUGUGUAGGUAUUAUUGAGAAAUGGUAUUGGUUCAAUAUGUAAUUUAUGUGUAUUGAUGUAUAUUUCUAAUAGAUUUAAUGUACACUUUUAGGUUUAA